GGUGCUGGCAUGGGGAGUUUGGACUUGGGUCCCGUUGAGGUCUGAAGUGCCAGGUUGAGGGGUUCUUGGUGGGAUUUGAGAAACUAAGAUGGGGUGAGUUGUUUGGGGAAUGCUGUCAGGGAUCAGGGUGCCAGGCUGGAGGAGGUCCUGGUAGGGUUUGGGGUGCCAGGAUAGGGAAUGGUACAGGUAUCCCUUUGGGGAUUGAGGUUGGAGGGUCCCGGUGAAGUUUGUGGUGCAGUGAUGAGGAGUUUGGGCUGCGGUCCCAGUGGGGUUUGGGGUGCUGAGCUGGGGAUUCUGUUGAGGAUGGGGAGUGCCAAACUGGAGACAUCCCAGGAGAGCUUAGUGUGCUGAGAUGGGGAGAGUGAAUGAGGGUCCUGAUGGGUUUGGAGGUACAGGGAUGGAAAGGACAUAGAGCAUUCUUGAGGCUUUUUGGGUGCCAAGUCAGGGAGGAAGGUGGGGGUCCCACGAGGAAUCAGGGGGGAUUCUACCUGUGACAGAAUGAUCUGAUACACUGCAGGGUCUACCGAUGGGUGCACUUAUCUUCUGAGAGAACUGAGGUCACGCGGCUGAGUUUUCCUCCUUGACUUCAAGACACAGGAACUUGCAUUCAGCUACAAAACCAGGCGGACUGCAAAUCUCAUCAUAUCAUAUGACUCCAAGCAAUAGCCUUAAAGUCAAUGCAGUUUUUGAAGAACCAUUUCCAAGAACUGGUUGCUGGAUGACCAUUUUUCACCUGGGAAUUGCCUCAGGCUCUUUUUGCCCAAGUAUUACACACUCAAGACAUUUGAACUAGAUGGAUAUUUCUUAACAUUUCAUUUUCUAUGGAUAUCCUGCAAAUUAUUCAUCAAAGACAGUAUUUGGGAUGCAUCAGCAGACUGUGUGUACGUGUACAAAGGAAGGUUUUCCCAAGGCUCCAUCUCGCCAGUUGUGCAUUCUGCACUCCUGCCAGCCAGCAGUGAUGGUUUCUCCCUGCUGCUCCACUCAGCAAUGGAAAGUUAUCUGAAGCCUUAUUUUCAAAUGCUGAAACUUUUACAAGAGAGCCCAGUAUGUGUGAAAACACACAGGCUAUAAAAGGGAUGAAGAGAAAAAUCCUGAUUUCACCCCUUCCUGCCCCUCAUUGCAGAGAGAGGCAGCAAUCCCUUAGUGGUUAUUUGUACUCGACACUUUACUGUGAAAGCACAGCCUUGGUUUACCAAAAGCAUGAUUUGCACUUCAAAAUACUUGGAUUUUUAAAACCUGUGCAAAUAGCCCCUAAGGCUUGGCUGUGUUGGUGGUAGAGUCUGUGGGCUCUGGCUCCUAAAUUCUGUUACAUUAUUAUAGCAACUAAGAUGUCCCACAGCUGUCUCCAUACCUUUUGCCCCCCAAGGAUUUCUAUCUCUCUGUAGAGGUAAAGAGGUGUAGGAUCCCGUUUGAAUCUGGAGAGGGAAAGGUAGAGGGAGAGCGAUUGGGAGAGGGAGGGGGAAAGGAUCACUUGUUUUUCCCAAAGCCUUGGUUGAAUAAAAGCCUGGAGAGGUCUGUCUUUGUGACCUUACAGAAAUAUGGAUGAUGGUUGUAUACUUGCAAUCAAAAAAGCCAAGACACUCCAGUAGUUUCAGGUAGUAAGGGAUGCAAAAAGCAAUCCUGGCAAUUUUGUGCAUGUGAAAGGAAGGAUGGAGUAAAUCUCUGAAUUCUCAGAGGGAAAAAAAUCAAAUACUGGAAACCACAGAAAAUACUUACUAUAUUUUUUUUCUCUUUAAAGAAGGAUUAGCCAGGCCGCACUGGCAAGUAAAAUUGGUUUAUAAAGAGCAGAGCAGAGACAGAACAGGACAAGAAUGUGUCAGAAGAUGAGAUUGAGGUAAAUCUGAGGUGUGUCAGAGCCUGAAGAAACCUGUGCAGGAAGAGCUAUGAAGUGAGGCCAGGGCAGCUGACCUAAACCCAUACUGUAGGGUGUUAAACUUGGCAGUAAAAAUGAGG